CAGUCUGCGUGGAGCCGACCUUGAAAUACCACCCUUUAAUGUUUGAUGUUCUAACGUGGACCCGUAAUCCGGGUUGCGGACAGUGUCUGGUGGGUAGUUUGACUGGGGCGGUCUCCUCCUAAAGAGUAACGGAGGAGCACGAAGGUUGGCUAAUCCUGGUCGGACAUCAGGAGGUUAGUGCAAUGGCAUAAGCCAGCUUGACUGCGAGCGUGACGGCGCGAGCAGGUGCGAAAGCAGGUCAUAGUGAUCCGGUGGUUCUGAAUGGAAGGGCCAUCGCUCAACGGAUAAAAGGUACUCCGGGGAUAACAGGCUGAUACCGCCCAAGAGUUCAUAUCGACGGCGGUGUUUGGCACCUCGAUGUCGGCUCAUCACAUCCUGGGGCUGAAGUAGGUCCCAAGGGUAUGGCUGUUCGCCAUUUAAAGUGGUACGCGAGCUGGGUUUAGAACGUCGUGAGACAGUUCGGUCCCUAUCUGCCGUGGGCGCUGGAGAACUGAGGGGGGCUGCUCCUAGUACGAGAGGACCGGAGUGGACGCAUCACUGGUGUUCGGGUUGUCAUGCCAAUGGCACUGCCCGGUAGCUAAAUGCGGAAGAGAUAAGUGCUGAAAGCAUCUAAGCACGAAACUUGCCCCGAGAUGAGUUCUCCCUGAGACUUAGAGUCUCCUGAAGGAACGUUGAAGACGACGACGUUGAUAGGCCGGGUGUGUAAGCGCAGCGAUGCGUUGAGCUAACCGGUACUAAUGAACCGUGAGGCUUAACCUUAC
rnacentral:rRNA from 1 species